rnacentral:rRNA from 1 species
UGCAAGUCGAACGAACUUAACCAUUAGUUUACUAUUGGAGCGGUUAGUGGCGGACUGGUGAGUAACACGUAAGCAACCUGCCUAUCAGAGGGGAACAACAGUUAGAAAUGACUGCUAAUACCGCAUAUGCCUUAGAAUCACAUGGUUCAAAGGGAAAGGAGCAAUCCGCUGAUAGAUGGGCUUGCGUCUGAUUAGCUAGUUGGUGGGGUAACGGCCUACCAAGGCGACGAUCAGUAGCCGAACUGAGAGGUUGAACGGCCACAUUGGGACUGAGAUACGGCCCAGACUCCUACGGGAGGCAGCAGUCGGGAAUAUUGCGCAAUGGAGGAAACUCUGACGCAGUGACGCCGCGUGCAGGAAGAAGGUUUUCGGAUUGUAAACUGCUUUAGACAGGGAAGAACAAAGACAGUACCUGUAGAAUAAGCUCCGGCUAACUACGUGCCAGCAGCCGCGGUAAUACGUAGGGAGCGAGCGUUAUCCGGAUUUAUUGGGUGUAAAGGGUGCGUAGACGGGAAGUCAAGUUAGUUGUGAAAUCCCUCGGCUUAACUGAGGAACUGCAACUAAAACUGAUUUUCUUGAGUACUGGAGAGGAAAGUGGAAUUCCUAGUGUAGCGGUGAAAUGCGUAGAUAUUAGGAGGAACACCGGUGGCGAAGGCGACUUUCUGGACAGAAACUGACGUUGAGGCACGAAAGUGUGGGGAGCAAACAGGAUUAGAUACCCUGGUAGU